rnacentral:rRNA from 1 species
CCCUUAGAUGAUUUGGGCUGCACGCGCGCUACACUGACCCUAACAAUGAGCAACUGUCUGGCCUGAGAUGGCUGGGUAGCCUUUUCAACCCAUGUCAUGAUUGGGCUAGAUUUUUGUAAGUCUUGAUCUCUAACGAGGAAUCCCUAGUAUGCGUGAAUCAUCAAUCCAUGCAGAUUAUGUCCCUGCCCUUUGUACACACCGCCCGUCGCUCCAUCCGUGGCAUGCGCCGGUGAAGAGGGGGAGGCAGCGUCGGCCGUGUAACAGCGGAUCGUACGUGGAACCCCUCUGAACCUUCGCACGUAGAGGAAGGAGAAGUCGUAACA